rnacentral:rRNA from 1 species
UACGAAGGGGGCUAGCGUUGUUCGGAAUUACUGGGCGUAAAGCGCACGUAGGCGGAUGUUUAAGUCGGGGGUGAAAUCCCAAGGCUCAACCUUGGAACUGCCUUUGAUACUGGGGAUCUCGAGUCCGGAAGAGGUGAGUGGAACUGCGAGUGUAGAGGUGAAAUUCGUAGAUAUUCGCAAGAACACCAGUGGCGAAGGCGGCUCACUGGUCCGGUACUGACGCUGAGGUGCGACAGCGUGGGGAGCGAACUGG